GUGUAUGUGGGUCUGUGUCAGUGUGAGUCUGUCUGUCAUGGUAUACGUGUGUGUGUGCGUCUGUCUUUCUCUCAUGGUGUGUGUGUGUGUAUGUCUGUCAUGGUGUGUGUGUGUCUGUGACGUUAUAUGUGUGUGUUUAGGUGACCAGCCCGGCUCCGUUCACAAGGGAAUGGUGUUUUUACUCACCUUUUUUUCCCAUGCCGUCCUGGUCUUCCCUCGACUGGCCACACCUCUAUGGCUGAGAUUAUCAAGCUUGAGCAUCUCAGCCAAUCAAAUGUUUUUCCAUAUGAAAGUAUUGGGAGACUAUUGUGCAUGCGCUGCAAAAUGAUGCACCAAUCAGCUUCUCCUCAUAGAAAUUAAUUGAAUUAAUGCGUCUCUAUGGGGAACUUUCAGCGCCUCCAUGCAGAGC